rnacentral:rRNA from 1 species
GAGUUUGAUCCUGGCUCAGGAUGAACGCUAGCGGCAGGCUUAACACAUGCAAGUCGAGGGGUAAAUAUAGGCAACUAUAUGAGACCGGACAAACGGGUGCGGAACACGUACUGAACCUACCUUGAUCUGGGGCAUAGCCCGGAGAAAUCCGGAUUAACUCCCCAUAGUAUGGAAUGGUGGCGAUCACCUAACCAUUAAAAUUUAUUGGAUCAAGAUGGCAGUGCGUCCCAUUAGCUAGUUGGUAGGGUAACGGCCUACCAAGGCGACGAUGGGUAGCUGGUGUGAGAGCACGACCCAGCCACACGGGCACU